GACGUAGGGAGCAAGCGUUGUUCGGAUUUACUGGGCGUAAAGGGCGCGUAGGCGGCGCGGUAAGUCACUUGUGAAAUCUCUGAGCUUAACUCAGAACGGCCAAGUGAUACUGCAGUGCUAGAGUGCAGAAGGGGCAAUCGGAAUUCUUGGUGUAGCGGUGAAAUGCGUAGAUAUCAAGAGGAACACCUGAGGUGAAGACGGGUUGCUAGGCUGACACUGACGCUGAGGCGCGAAAGCCAGGGGAGCAAACGGG
rnacentral:rRNA from 1 species